UACGUAGGGGGCAAGCGUUGUCCGGAUUUAUUGGGCGUAAAGAGCGUGUAGGCGGUUUGGUAGGUCCGUUGCGAAAACUCGAGGCUCAACCUCGAGACGCCGAUGGAAACCAUCAGACUAGAGUCCGGAAGAGGAGAGUGGAAUUCCUGGUGUAGCGGUGAAAUGCGCAGAUAUCAGGAAGAACACCCGUGGCUAAGGCGGCUCUCUAGUACGGUACUGACGCUGAGACGCGAAAGCGUGGGGAGCGAACAGG
rnacentral:rRNA from 1 species